rnacentral:rRNA from 1 species
CCUACGGAAGGCAGCAGUGAGGAAUAUUGGACAAUGGGCGAAAGCCUGAUCCAGCCAUGCCGCGUGUGUGAAGAAGGUCUUCGGAUUGUAAAGCACUUUAAGUUGGGAGGAAGGGCAGUAAAUUAAUACUUUGCUGUUUUGACGUUACCGACAGAAUAAGCACCGGCUAACUCUGUGCCAGCAGCCGCGGUAAU